rnacentral:rRNA from 1 species
GAAGUAAAAGUCGUAACAAGGUUUCCGUAGGUGAACCUGCGGAAGGAUCAUUAAUGAUUGCGAAUGGUUGCCUUCGGUGCUGGCUCUUGCAAGUGCACGUUGGUGGCUUUCAUCCAAUACCCUUGUGAACCUUUGGCCUCUUGCUGGCUUUGGCCGGCAGAGGAUUUUUACACACACUCGAAUGUAAUGAAAACUAUUGUCGUGCGCAAGCACUAAUGUACAACUUUCAACAACGGAUCUCUUGGCUCUCGCAUCGAUGAAGAACGCAGCGAAAUGCGAUAAGUAAUGUGAAUUGCAGAAUUCAGUGAAUCAUCGAAUCUUUGAACGCACCUUGCACCCUUUGGUAUUCCGAAGGGUAUGCUCGUUUGAGUGUCAUUGUACUCUCACUCUCUCUGAUCCUUUGGAUUCAGGGAGUGGUGGACUUGGGUGUUUGCUGCUUUCCUUGUGGCUCACCUCAAAUGCGUCAGUGCACCUCUUGGUUGGACAUAGUACGGCGUGAUAAGUAUCUUCGCCGGCACCUCGCGAGAGGGUGGCCGAUCGGGAGCUCUGUGCUUUCAAACUGUCUUCGGACAAUCUCUGACAACUUGACCUCAAAUCGAGUAGGACUACCCGCUGAACUUAAGCAU